CUGAUCGCACAUGUUUUCUAGUAACAAGAGGUGAGCACUGUGGUCCAGCACGUGAAGCCAUCACAUGGGACACCUUGGAGUUACAGGGUGUAAUAUUCUAAAUCAGAAGAAAGAAUCUCUCCAGAGUUUCACACCUGCUCUCUGCCAAGACUUAGACUGCCACUCACUUGUAGAUUAAAAGUUUCACCUCUGAAAGAAGCCAAAAACGCUGUCUCCGAAACACUUCUUUACAAACACUUUCUACUGAAGCCUUCAAAAGGACUCUUACAGUGACCUGAACUACUAGAAAGUCAUGAAACCUAAGCAUUUCCUAAGUAUUUUUGCAUCACUUGUAAAGUAUGGUUUAUGAUCCUUGGAGUUUUACCAAAUC